UUUAAGGAUUGACCUAGGAUUAUGUUGCUUAGGAAUGAAUGUGAUUAUAGUUCGGUUAAAGCUUUGUAGCAUAUGACCACCUUCGAAAAAAUUGAUAAUAGCAUUACAUAGGUAAUGUUGAAUAAACUCCUAAUAAAUUUGACAGAAGUGAAUCCAUCUCAACCCGAAGCCUCAUCGGGAUGGAUGCUAAAAGCUGCUGCUUUGGUUUGCAUCAGGCUAAUAUGUUGGAUAACUACUGAUUCAUUGUCGUCCACUUAAAGCAGCAUUUCUUCAGUUACUCUCCUGAAAUUUGUAGGAUUGAAUGAAGUAAAUAGAUUUUGAGUUUUUUCAUUUUAAAAACUAGUUUUCAGGGAGAAGUAAAUUGAUAAAAAAAAAAUAUUAUUUCUAUUUUUUACCUCAUUUAAUAUAUCAGAAACUAUGAAGAGAGAGAGCAGAAAGUGAAGUUUGUGUUAUUUGAAAAAGUUAUAAGAG
rnacentral:lncRNA from 1 species